rnacentral:rRNA from 1 species
GAUGAACGCUGGCGGCGUGCCUCAAACAUGCAAGUCGAGCGAGGCUAUGAAUUACCGCAAGGUAAGGCAUAGCCUAGCGGCGAACGGGUGAGUAACACGUGGGUAACCUACCUGGAAGACAGGGAUAACGAUUCGAAAGGGUCGCUAAUACCUGAUAAUAUCCAUCUGCCGGAUGGCGGAGGGAAGAAAGGGGAAACCCGCUUUCAGAUGGGCCCGCGUCCCAUCAGCUAGUUGGUAAGGUAAAGGCUUACCAAGGCGACGACGGGUAGCCGGUCUGAGAGGAUGUACGGCCACACUGGGACUGAGAUACGGCCCAGACUCCUACGGGAGGCAGCAGUUGGGAAUCUUAGGCAAUGGACGAAAGUCUGACCUAGCGACGCCGCGUGAGGGAAGAAGGCCUCGGUUGUAACUCUGUCAUGGGAAGAAGGAAGUGAGGUACCCAACGAGGAAGCCCUGCUAACUACGUGCCAGCAGCCGCGGUAACGAACGAGAGUA